UACGAAGGGGGCUAGCGUUGCUCGGAAUCACUGGGCGUAAAGCGCGUGUAGGCGGGCCGGCACGUCGACUGCUGAAAUCCCCCGGCUCAACCGGGGAACGGGCAUCGAUACGACCGGCCUGGAGGGGGGUAGGGGGGACGGGAACUUCCGGUGGAGCGGUGAAAUGCGUUGAGAUCGGAAGGAACGCCCGCGGCGAAAAGCGCGUCCCUGGACCCCACCUGACGCUGAGACGCGAAAAGCCAGGGGAGCAAACAGG
rnacentral:rRNA from 1 species